rnacentral:rRNA from 1 species
UACGUAGGGUGCAAGCGUUGUCCGGAAUUAUUGGGCGUAAAGAGCUCGUAGGCGGUUUGUCGCGUCUGCUGUGAAAUCCCGAGGCUCAACCUCGGGCCUGCAGUGGGUACGGGCAGACUAGAGUGUGGUAGGGGAGACUGGAAUUCCUGGUGUAGCGGUGAAAUGCGUAGAUAUCGGGAGGAACAUCAGUGGCGAAGGCGGCUAUCUGGUCUAACACUGACACUGAGACGCGAAAGCGUGGGGAGCAAACAGG